rnacentral:rRNA from 1 species
CCGGAGCUUGCUCCACCGGAAAAAGAGGAGUGGCGAACGGGUGAGUAACACGUGGGUAACCUGCCCAUCAGAAGGGGAUAACACUUGGAAACAGGUGCUAAUACCGUAUAACAAUCGAAACCGCAUGGUUUUGAUUUGAAAGGCGCUUUCGGGUGUCGCUGAUGGAUGGACCCGCGGUGCAUUAGCUAGUUGGUGAGGUAACGGCUCACCAAGGCCACGAUGCAUAGCCGACCUGAGAGGGUGAUCGGCCACAUUGGGGCUGAGACACGGCCCAAACUCCUACGGGAGGCAGCAGUAGGGAAUCUUCGGCAAUGGACGAAAGUCUGACCGAGCAACGCCGCGUGAGUGAAGAAGGUUUUCGGAUCGUAAAACUCUGCUGUUAGAGAAGAACAAGGAUGAGAGUAACUGUUCAUCCCUUGACGGUAUCUAACCAGAAAGCCACGGCUAACUACGUGCCAGCAGCCGCGGUAAUACGUAGGUGGCAAGCGUUGUCCGGAUUUAUUGGGCGUAAAGCGAGCGCAAGCGGUUUCUUAAGUCUGAUGUGAAAGCCCCCGGCUCAACCGGGGAGGGUCAUUGGAAACUGGGAGACUUGAGUGCAGAAGAGGAGAGUGGAAUUCCAUGUGUAGCGGUGAAAUGCGUAGAUAUAUGGAGGAACACCAGUGGCGAAGGCGGCUCU